CAGUAGCCACGGUAAUACGAAGGGGGCUAGCGUUGCUCGGAAUUACUGGGCGUAAAGGGCGCGUAGGCGGACGACUAAGUCAGAGGUGAAAGCCCAGGGCUCAACCUUGGAACUGCCUUUGAUACUGGUCAUCUAGAGUGCGGAAGAGGUGUGUGGAACUCCGAGUGUAGAGGUGAAAUUCGUAGAUAUUCGGAAGAACACCAGUGGCGAAGGCGACACACUGGUCCGUAACUGACGCUGAGGCGCGAAAGCGUGGGGAGCAAACAGGAUUAGAUACCCCCGUAGUCCCUGUCUCUUAUAC
rnacentral:rRNA from 1 species